AAAACUUCUUCAUAUAAAGAAUAUUUCUUCUCCCAACCUGCCCUGCCUCACACCUACGGUACCCCGCAGCAACAGGAGAGCUCAGUGACAUGAAAAGUUAUCCCUGCUGGGGCCCCACAAAAAAUGUUCAAAUAGGGCCCCACACUUCCUAAAGUCGGCCCUGCCAGUUCAGCUCAGAAGCUCCAGAAAUCCCAACAAGAACAGACUGGCUGCCUCCUGUAGGCAAGACUUGAAAGCCAGACGCCUAGUGUGAUGGAAACAAAUAGAAGGCGCAGAAGCUGUGACAGCCAAGUAAUUUGCAUCAACACAGAUGCACAGACUGCUCACUUAAAGAAUCAGAAUGGAGACAUUCCUGUUCCAACAUCAUUGUCUUCCCAACCAACUGGCCAAACGCAGCCACUUGGUUGUAGAGCUGCUCAACUUUCUUAACAGCUCUUUCUCCAUCUGAGACCUUUUCAAAGCUAUCCACACUGGCUCUUUCAAAAGGAAAAGUGGAACAUGACAACAGCGAAGACAACGACAGCAGAGACACCUCCGAAGAAAUGCCCUAGAGCCCUUGGGCUGUCACGCUUCAGGAAUGUGUGUGAGGUACUAGGAGACUUGGAGAUGGGAAGUGUCCUGCUGGCUGUAGCCACUUUCGAUCUCCUGGCUUCUACCCCUUACCCUGCUGGCAGGGCAUUGUGCAGCACCCUUUCCAGCCCACCUGGGUGCAGGAGAUCGAGGAAGAGAGCAUCUGCCAUCUAGCUCCAUCCCAUCUAGAGCAAAGCCCCGCAGUGCCCAGCAGAAGUGGGCUGAGGAGGAGGAAGAGGAGUGGGUUGAGGAAGAGGAGGAGGAAGAAGAGAAGGAGGAAGAGGAUGUGUCCCCUGAACAAGACACCAUCAGGGUCACCCAGGAGCACCUCCAGGGCAGAGCUGAGGUACAAAAAUCUUCCAGCUGUGCUGCCCCCCGAGUCUGUCCUGCCCCUUGUUCCAGCC